rnacentral:rRNA from 1 species
UUUGCCUACGGGGCGCAGCAGUGAGGAAUAUUGGUCAAUGGGCGGAAGCCUGAACCAGCCAAGUCGCGUGAGGGAAUAAGGCCCUACGGGUCGUAAACCUCUUUUGCCGGGGAGCAAGGGCGGGGACGUGCCCCGGCCCGGAGAGUACCCGGAGAAAAAGCAUCGGCUAACUCCGUGCCAGCAGCCGCGGUAAUACGGAGGAUGCGAGCGUUAUCCGGAUUUAUUGGGUUUAAAGGGUGCGUAGGCGGGCUUUUAAGUCAGCAAAAAAAAAA